UGGCGGCGUGGAUAGGCAUGCAAGUCGAGCGACAAGGCCGGACGGAACCUUCGGGGGAAGACCGGCUGGAGGAGCGGCAAACGGGGUAGUAAAGCGUCGGAACGUACCCACCGGACCGGGAUAGCCGCGGGAAACUGCGGGUAAUACCGGAUGAUCUCUACGGAGCAAAUGGUCCGCCGCCGGUGGACCGGCCGACGUGGUACUAGCUAGUUGGUGAGGUAACGGCUCACCAAGGCUGAGAUGCCUAGGGGGUGUGAGAGCAUGGCCCCCACCACUGGGACUGAGACACUGCCCAGACACCUACGGGUGGCUGCAGUCGAGAAUCUUCGGCAAUGGGCGCAAGCCUGACCGAGCGACGCCGCGUGCGGGAUGAAGGCCCUUGGGUUGUAAACCGCUGUCAGAGGGGAGGAAAGCGCAAGCUUGACCGAGCCUCAGAGGAAGCGCGGGCUAAGUUCGUGCCAGCAGCCGCGGUAAUACGAACUGCGCGAACGUUAUUCGGAAUCACUGGGCUUACAGGGUGCGUAGGCGGCCGACCAGGUCAGGUGUGAAAUCCCACGGCUCAACCGUGGAACUGCGCUUGAAACCGGACGGCUUGAGUGAGCUAGGGGUGCACGGAACUUCCAGUGGAGCGGUGAAAUGUG
rnacentral:rRNA from 1 species